UACAGAGGUCCCAAGCGUUGUUCGGAUUCACUGGGCGUAAAGGGUGCGUAGGCGGUUGGGUAAGUCUGAUGUGAAAUCUCACAGCUUAACUAUGAAACUGCAUUGGAUACUAUCCGGCUAGAGGAAUGGAGGGGAGACUGGAAUACUUGGUGUAGCAGUGAAAUGCGUAGAUAUCAAGUGGAACACCAGUGGCGAAGGCGAGUCUCUGGACAUUUCCUGACGCUGAGGCACGAAAGCCAGGGGAGCAAACGGGG
rnacentral:rRNA from 1 species